CUGAGCGAUACAGACACAACAGAGAACAAACCACUAGUUUUGUACAGCAGCUGCCUGCUAAAAUCUCGUACAGUGAGUUCUUUUGCUCCUGGAGAAUGACUGGAAGGCUCAGAAUCUAAGAUCGUCCCUUCACCAUGACUUGCUCUCAAGAGCAAUUCAUUCCCAGUGUUAAUGGGCACAGCCGGAGCUACAUUUAUUAUUGCUCAAGAGAGGAAAGUUCAUGUGUCAGCAGUCGUGGGAGCAUCUGGAGAAAAGCAACAUGCCACCUAAGAUAGAAGAAUCUGCAGUGAAAGAAAAAAAAAUUAGCCGCGAUGCUGAAUCAGUCUUUGAUUCAUUCACAUCUCUCUGUAAUUGUGACUCUGGGUGUUCCUCAGGCGGUUUUGUUUAAGUUGUGUGUUCUGGUAUAGGGAGUGAGAAAUCUCUGACACAAAUACAGAUACAAAAUGUACUUGAACAUUGGCGGCUUCCUUCCUCUCUUACAGUUGGGAAUCCUCUAGAUACUGCAUAAAGAAUCCUAGGUUGACCUACAGAAAGUAGCUCACUUCUGGAUUUCAGCAGUGAUCAACAGAGCCAUAUGUUUAAAGAACUUGUCCAGGAGAUCUUCAGAAGGCCAGGCUAAAUGACUAACUGCUGUCUUUAUCCCUUGGGCCUUUAGAUCUCCAAAAGCUGUUAUGGGAAGUCAGAUGACAAUGCAGACUAGGAUAUGUGUUGAUUUUGUACUUACUUUUUUUACUUACUUAUUGCACACUGUAUACAAUAUCUUGGAAAAUAAGACAAGCCUUUUAUUUGUACUGAGAAAUCCUAACACUAAUUAUGCUAAACUAUUACAGAUAUGGCCAUGGGUUGAACUACUGUGAUAUGUUUUAGCAAGUGUGUGCUUAGAUAAUUUUGUUGUUUAGAAUCGGAGUGAACAUAUCACUAACAUUAAGCUUAGGUCAAUCAUUCUAUAUGGCCUUGCGAUUCAAGAAAGAAGUGGGGAAAACAUGAGACAUUUCUGACUAAUGCAGAUAUUUCAUAGUGUACCAUUUUGUAAUAAGAGUAUUCUCUAACAAUAAAAACUAUUAACUUAUCAGCAUAAAAUAUUAUUUCUUGGGAAUAAUUACAUAUGGUAAACUUUUAUGACAGGCAGGAAGUGCAUUGAGCGUGACAUCAUCAGCACCACAUACAACUGAGUAAUAUAUUGUACUAGAGCAUUGUAGUAACUAUGUCCAAUGGGUGAUAGCAAUUUUUCAACUCCAAUUAUAAUCUUUUGGAACUACUAUUCCAUAUGCUGUCAG
rnacentral:lncRNA from 1 species